rnacentral:rRNA from 1 species
CCUACGGGUGGCAGCAGUCGAGAAUCAUUCACAAUGGGGGAAACCCUGAUGGUGCGACGCCGCGUGGGGGAAUGAAGGUCUUCGGUUUGUAAACCCUUGUCAUGUGGGAGCAAAUGAAAAAGAUAGUACCACAAGAAGAAGAGACGGCCAACUCUGUGGCAGCAGCCGCGGUAAUACAGAGGUCUCAAGCGUUGUUCGGAAUCACUGGGCGUAACGCGUGCGUAGGCUGUUUUGUAAGUCGUGUGUGAAAGGCGCGGGCUCAACCCGCGGACGGCACAUGAUACUGCGAGACUAGAGUAAUGGAGGGGUAACCGGAAUUCUCGGUGUAGGAGUGAAAUGCGUAGAUAUCGAGAGGAACACUCGUGGCGAAGGCGGGUUCCUGGACAUUAACUGACGCUGAGGCACGAAGGCCAGGGGAGCGAAAGGGAUUAGAUACCCUUGUAGUC